GAUGAACGCUGGCGGCGUGCCUAAUACAUGCAAGUAGAACGCUGAAGCUUGGUGCUUGCACCGAGCGGAUGAGUUGCGAACGGGUGAGUAACGCGUAGGUAACCUGCCUCUUAGCGGGGGAUAACUAUUGGAAACGAUAGCUAAUACCGCAUAAAAGUCAAUAUCGCAUGAUAUUGAUUUGAAAGGUGCAAAUGCAUCACUAAGAGAUGGACCUGCGUUGUAUUAGCUAGUUGGUGAGGUAACGGCUCACCAAGGCGACGAUACAUAGCCGACCUGAGAGGGUGAUCGGCCACACUGGGACUGAGACACGGCCCAGACUCCUACGGGAGGCAGCAGUAGGGAAUCUUCGGCAAUGGGGGCAACCCUGACCGAGCAACGCCGCGUGAGUGAAGAAGGUUUUCGGAUCGUAAAGCUCUGUUGUAAGAGAAGAACGAGUGUGAGAGUGGAAAGUUCACACUGUGACGGUAACUUACCAGAAAGGGACGGCUAACUACGUGCCAGCAGCCGCGGUAAUACGUAGGUCCCGAGCGUUAUCCGGAUUUAUUGGGCGUAAAGCGAGCGCAGGCGGUUAGAUAAGUCUGAAGUUAAAGGCUGUGGCUUAACCAUAGUACGCUUUGGAAACUGUUUAACUUGAGUGCAGAAGGGGAGAGUGGAAUUCCAUGUGUAGCGGUGAAAUGCGUAGAUAUAUGGAGGAACACCGGUGGCGAAAGCGGCUCUCUGGUCUGUAACUGACGCUGAGGCUCGAAAGCGUGGGGAGUAAACAGG
rnacentral:rRNA from 1 species